UAAUUGAGCUCAGUGGUAGAGCGUCCGACCAGUGUGCGGAAGGUCAUAGGUUCGACUCCUGUUGGGAGAA
rnacentral:tRNA from 1 species